rnacentral:rRNA from 1 species
UACGGAGGGUGCAAGCGUUAAUCGGAAUUACUGGGCGUAAAGCGCACGCAGGCGGCUUUUAAGUCGGAUGUGAAAGCCCCGGGCUCAACCUGGGAAUUGCAUCUGAUACUGGGAAGCUAGAGUAUGUGAGAGGGGGGUAGAAUUCCAAGUGUAGCGGUGAAAUGCGUAGAGAUUUGGAGGAAUACCAGUGGCGAAGGCGGCCCCCUGGCACAAUACUGACGCUCAGGUGCGAAAGCGUGGGGAGCAAACAGG